AGUGGUAGGACUUUGUUAUGUCUUUCUAGAGGGUACGGCUCAGCCCUGACAUUGUCAGAAGGACAGAGCUAACGUUUUUUCGCAAUGCCUGCAUGACGCGUCUCACUUCAUCUUAUCACACGGGCAUUUUAUCCUCUCACAUCAUCAUCAGAAGAAGGAAAAAUAUCAGUAAGGAUUUAAUAAAAAAGAAGAUUAGAAGAAAGUAUUUUCUGACACAAGUUGUUUUAAGCGAACGCGGAGAAACGGGGUUCAGGUUGAGGAAAAGUAACCUUCUAUUACUCUCACAAAUGUGAAAAGUUUCCUGAGGGUGUUAACAGAGAAACGCUUCGGCCUCUCUGACUGUCUCAGUUGAUUAGAAAGUUGAGCUGUACCCAUCAAGAGGAGAACGACGGCAGAGAUAUCUGUACAAAGACCUCUGGAGAGACUUUCAAAGAAGAGCCUGAUGCCACAUCAGAAGGUGGUGAGAGAAAUCUUGAGCGCGCUGAACCAGUUUGGACUCGGCUAUCUGUGACCACUUAAAGGAGGCUGAGUCAUGAGAUGGCGGAAUGUGGCAGUGAGAGACAAAACAAAAUAAAAUUAAAUGAAAGAUUGUUCAAACUUUCUGGGCUUUGGAAACCCAAAGGAAAAAGAUGAUAAAAUCUCAACAAAAAUACUUAGUGUAAUGCAUUGAGCCUUCCUUGAAGCUUCAUUAAAAUUAUAUCUAAAGCACCGAUUAUAAGAAAAUGAUUAAUAAUACAAUAACGUGGAACAACUGUUCUGCAGAGCUGUUUGGAGUUGUGGGCUUUUCCAUCAACACUCUGUUUUGUUCUCUGCUUCCAUCCACACAGGGAAGCAAAUGCCCGUCACCAAUUUUUUUUUUUUUUGUUCUUCUCAUCAGCAAUAAGAACCAUCAUUCGGUAAAAACAAAGAGCUCAGAGUCACCGAAGCUGAUAGAGGAUGAUGCAAGUUUGCUGAAUGGCUGACGUAUAGUCUCGGUUCUCUGAGACAUCGAUCCCUACUGGUGUCUGCUCAACUCCACAGGGGACCAUGGAGCUUUCUUAGGUGGUUGAGGACUGUCUCUUUUGUUCAAAAUGUUCAGGCUUUUACUCUGUCAUAGUGAAUAAUUUAUUUAAUACAGUCAACUACAGCUGGGCGAAAAAAAAAAUCAUGUGCGUUUCAUCAAAGCAGAGACAAACUUUCUAUUCAUUCUAGUAAAGAUUUUUUAAAUCAGUGCCAAUGAAGAGAACUUGUGGUUUUUGGUUCAGAAACUGGACAUCUGAUGAUGGAAGUUGAGCCUGUGAACUCUAAAGUUUUGAAGUAACACGGAGCAGAAGGAUUUGUAGGCGCACU